AGACCUUCAACUUCUCUUGUUUCUCUCCCAACUAGUUGUGACAAAGAAUCUUGAGACUCUCAGAAGGGCUCUACCUUCUGGCAGAAUUGUCCUGAAGGACUAGACUGGUUCCUGGGGUGGUGCUGGUCAGGAGCCCUUAGGAUGGCGCCACACAAAGAACCAGAGCACUUUGUUGUAGAAGGAUGUUAGGUUGAACCAAGGGCCAUACCACUCCUCCUUUCUCUAGAGGAGUCCCAGUGUGUAACCCUGGCUCUUUAUAGUCCUACUGGCCUCAAGACUCCCUGGCCUCUCCUUGUUCUCUUUACAUCUUCAGAAUGAGGUAACCUUGAAAACAGUAGCUAGCCUGCAGAUGGUUGCUAAUUUAGAUGCAGCCACACUGAGUUGUAUCUAUAGCCUGGAUUGCCAGUGACAUUUGGUCGCUGCUGGACCAGAGGUUUGCAAACUCUGAAGUCAAGGGAACGUCUUACAGUCAGCCUCUCCUAUCCCUCCCAGGACCCAAGUGUCACCAUAGGCCAAGACAAAGAGAAUCAGUAUAUACAGUACUAGUGCUCUACAGAAACAUCUCAUCAGAAACCCAACACAUCACUGGUAUACACCAACACAUCCUGGUCCUUGUUCAAUCUCUGGAAUGUGUCUGAAUAGCUACGGAUAGCCUAUGCUUGGCUAGAAGACAGCAUUUGUAGGCUCCAGUACCUCCCUGAAUUCUCACUCCAUCAAACCUGAUAAAAGGCCAUUAUGGGUCAGGCUCCAUCUAAACCAAUGGUUCUCAACCUAUGGGUCUCAGCACCUUUGGGUUGAAUGGCCCUUUCACAGUGGUUGCCUGAGACCAUCAGAAAACAUAGAUACUUACAUUAUGAUUCAUAACAGUAGCAAAAUUACAGUUAUGAAGUAACAAUGGAAAUAAUUUUAUGGUUGCUGGUCACCACAAAGUGUGGAACUGUAUUAAAGAGUGGCAGUAUCAGGAAGGCUGAGAAACACUGGUUUAAACCCUGUGGUUCAGGCCCCAGCACUCAAGUUUAAGAUUUAUUUUUUAGAACUGGAAGAGAUGACUAACAACCCGUGCCCUGCCAACACAAACUCUCACUAUAUAGCCUAGCCAGACUCUCCUCACAGUUGUAAUUCUCCUGCCUCAGCCUCCUGAGUGCUGGGAUUGGACACCCUUUCUUACUGAAGAGCUAUUUUGGGCCAUUCUUUCUCUCAUCAUCUGGGUCUUAGGCCGACAGCGGAAGGCAAACAGUGGAGACAGAGGCCACUGAGCGUCCAUCUAGACCGUCAAACGGGAAGGAGGCAGCAGCAGCAAAGAUGUGUGAGCCCUGCAGGGCUUCCGACAUGCAGAAAGGCUGCAUGCUACAGACACUGAGGACCAAGGUUCUGAGACCCAGAAGACCCUCCCUCCAUCUGGAAAACUCACUAACUGCCGUGAGGACGUGCUGUCCCUCCUCCCAUGAGCACUUUCCAGUGAUUGGCUUUGGUCCUUACUCAAAGGGAAAUGGAUCUCUCUGUGUGGAGGCAUCAGGGAUGUAUCUAGGCCAGCUCCUACCAUAUGAGGCGGUACAGGGUGGCUUUGUACAUGGGCACAAGCCUCUGGUCACCACAGCAAUGAUCUAACAAGAGCCAUGAAGACAUAGCAUAGUUUUCAUGCUCUGGACACUGAGAAAAUGGGCAGGAAUCCUCACCUCGUUUAUCAACUUCCUGGCUAAGAUGGCGGACUAGGGGACGAUGGUAUGAAGGCGCUGAUGCUGUAGUAGUUUGUAGCCCCUUGCUGAGUGCUAUCUAGAACUGAG